AUUGAACGCUGGCGGCAUGCCUUACACAUGCAAGUCGAACGGUAACAGGUCUUCGGAUGCUGACGAGUGGCGAACGGGUGAGUAAUACAUCGGAACGUGCCUAGUAGUGGGGGAUAACUACUCGAAAGAGUGGCUAAUACCGCAUGAGAUCUACGGAUGAAAGCAGGGGAUCGCAAGACCUUGUGCUACUAGAGCGGCCGAUGGCAGAUUGGGUAGUUGGUGGGAUAAAAGCUUACCAAGCCGACGGUCUGUAGCUGGUCUGAGAGGACGAUCAGCCACACUGGGACUGAGACACGGCCCAGAAGCCUACGGGAGGCAGCAGUGGGGAAUUUUGGACAAUGGGCGCAAGCCUGAUCCAGCAAUGCGGCGUGCAGGAUGAAGGCCUUCGGGUUGUAAACUGCUUUUGUACGGAACGAAAAGCCCCGGGUUAAUACCCUGGGGUCAUGACGGUACCGUAAGAAUAAGCACCGGCUAACUACGUGCCAGCCGCCGCCGUAA
rnacentral:rRNA from 1 species